rnacentral:rRNA from 1 species
AUGCAGUUCUGUAAGCUAACCGGAUCAGCUAAUGUUUUCUUUAAGUUCUUUUUUGAGUGCCGACAGAGCAUAACGCUUGAAGAUAUGGAGGCGUCAAACCUGUGCCGACCCCCUCUUGGUGAUGCCUCUAACGGAGCCCCUCUUGGCGACAUCUCUAAUGUUGAUCAUCAUUCCCGAAUGACUCCAGUGCCAAUGCCAGCCUCACUCGACCUUACCCUGUAUGGAUCUCACUGCGAAAGGGUAAAUCUUGCUAGCAACACCAACAUAGCAAGGAAAAAUAAACGACCAAUACAAAAAAUGCCAGUCGCUGCCAUCUUAGCGGCAUCUCCACUAUCGAUUAACUCCCCAAAUGCAGUCCAGGAAAUAUCGCAGACCACGACAUCUAACCAUAACAUGCCAGAUACGGUUCAUGAUGAUGGGGAACAUAACAGGACCUCAUCAACAGAAAGAAGGUGCAUUCUAAACGCGCGGAGAAGAGCAACUUGUAAGGAGCAAAAAGAAAAGGAAAGUACAUCACUCCCAGCCUGA